rnacentral:rRNA from 1 species
GGCGAACGCUGGCGGCGUGCUUAACACAUGCAAGUCGAACGAAGAGCGAUGGAAGCUUGCUUCUAUCAAUCUUAGUGGCGAACGGGUGAGUAACGCGUAAUCAACCUGCCCUUCAGAGGGGGACAACAGUUGGAAACGAUUGCUAAUACCGCAUACGAUCUAAUCGCGGAAUCGAGGAUAGAUGAAAGGUGGCCUCUACAGGUAAGCUAUCACUGAAGGAGGGGAGUGAGUCGGAUUAGCAAGUUGGAGGGGUAACGGCCCACAAAGGGAAGGAUCGGUAGCGGGCUGGGAGGAUGGACGGCCAACUUGGGAAUGGAACAAGGCCCCAACUCCUACGGGAAGCAGCAGGGGGGAAUCUUCCGCAAAGGACGAAAAGCUGGCGGCACAAAGCCGCGUGAGCGAUGACGGCCUUCGGGUUGUAAAGCUCUGUUAGUCGGGACGAAAGGCCUUCUUGCGAAUAGUGAGAAGGAUUGACGGUACCGGAAUAGAAAGCCACGGCUAACUACGUG